UACAGAGGGUGCUAGCGUUAAUCGGAUUUACUGGGCGUAAAGCGUGCGUAGGCGGCUGCGCAAGUCGGUUGUGAAACCCCGGGGCUCAACCCCGGAACUGCAUCCGAUACUGCGUGGCUAGAGGUAGGUAGGGGAGAUCGGAAUUCCUGGUGUAGCGGUGAAAUGCGCAGAUAUCAGGAGGAACACCGGUGGCGAAGGCGGAUCUCUGGGCCUUACCUGACGCUCAGGCACGAAAGCUAGGGAGCGAACAGG
rnacentral:rRNA from 1 species